CAGCCGCCGCGGUAAUACGUAGGUGGCAAGCGUUGUCCGGAAUUAUUGGGCGUAAAGGGCUCGCAGGCGGUUUCUUAAGUCUGAUGUGAAAGCCCCCGGCUCAACCGGGGAGGGUCAUUGGAAACUGGGAAACUUGAGUGCAGAAGAGGAGAGUGGAAUUCCACGUUUAGCGGUGAAAUGCGUAGAGAUGUGGAGGAACACCAGUGGCGAAGGCGACUCUCUGGUCUGUAACUGACGCUGAGGAGCGAGAGCGUGGGGAGCGAACAGGAUUAGAUACCCGCGUAGUCCCUGUCUCUUAUAC
rnacentral:rRNA from 1 species